CGGGGUGAGUAAUGUCUGGGAAACUGCCUGAUGGAGGGGGAUAACUGCUGGAAACGGUAGCUAAUACCGCAUAACGUCGCAAGACCAAAGAGGGGACCUCGGGCCUCUUGCCAUCGGAUGUGCCCAGAUGGGAUUAGCUAGUAGGUGGGGUAACGGCUCACCUAGGCGACGAUCCCUAGCUGGUCUGAGAGGAUGACCAGCCACACUGGAACUGAGACACGGUCCAG
rnacentral:rRNA from 1 species